GUGGAUGUAGCUCAAUUGGUCAGAGCACUGGAUUGUGGUUCCAGAGGUCGCGGGUUCGACCCCCGUCAUCCACCCC
rnacentral:tRNA from 1 species